UGGGGAAUAUUGUACAAUGCGGGAAACCGUGAUCCAGCAAUGCCGCGUGAGUGAUGAAGGCCUUAGGGUUGUAAAGCUCUUUUACCAGGGAUGAUAAUGACAGUACCUGGAGAAUAAGCUCCGGCUAACUCCGUGCCAGCAGCCGCGGUAAUACGGAGGAUGCAAGCGUUAUCCGGAAUCAUUGGGCGUAAAGCGUCCGCAGGUGGUUCAUCAAGUCUGCUGUUAAAGACAGAAGCUCAACUUCUGAAAGGCAGUGGAAACUGGAGAACUAGAGUACGGUAGGGGUCGAGGGAAUUCCCAGUGUAGCGGUGAAAUGCGUAGAGAUUGGGAAGAACACCAGUGGCGAAGGCGCUCGACUGGGCCGUAACUGACACUCAGGGACGAAAGCUAGGGUAGCGAAAGGGAUUAGAUACCCCCGUAG
rnacentral:rRNA from 1 species